UUGAUUGUAAUUAUUAAUAUUUUUUUACUUUAUAAUUUUAUUAUUGUAUUACUAUUAUUUAUGUAGAAAAAAAUAAUUUAGUUGUUUUAAAUUAAAUUUUAAUUAUAUUGUAGUGUUUCUAAGCUUUGGAUAGAAUUGACUUCAGUAUUAGUGACUGGUCCACACAUCUGGAGAGUGUCGGACUAAGUCGGAGUCGUUUCUAGCGAAAUGGAUGCAGAAAUGGACUCGGCGCACUCAAAUAAGCAAAACUGGAGUUUUGCCAGAUUCGAGCGCCCAGAACUGGCUUUGGGUCACCCAGAAGUUGAGUGUAGAACUGAGCAGAACUGGAAAUCAAUUCGGAUCCAUGUUUCGGGCGCCCGGAUGUGGGUCCGAAAAGUUCACCUCGUGAGUAUCGUUGCGCUGACACGUGGUUGGUAGGAGGUGAGGUCCGCCGGAGCCGGAUACGGGCGCAGCACACCGCGGGUGGAGGAGCCGAGGGGGGUUUUUGUGCAGCCAGGAGGAUUCGGACGCCCAGAAUCAGGUUUUGGGCGCCCGAAAGUGGAGAUUUCUGCAGGAGUACUAGCUUUGCAGCAAUUGUUCCUGAGGCUUUUUGGACCGCCUCAACACCCUAUAAAUAGAUAGAGUGCGCCCCCUUGCUGCUCUUUUCCUCCCUUCUUCACAGAGAAGACCACUUUAGCAUUCCAACCCCUCCAAAUCACUCAAUUUGUAUCAAAGGUCCACAAAUUCAGCUUGAGGAGUGCUGAUUCUGCAGUUUUCCAGCGACGACCUUCGGUGUUUUGGCUCGUGUGCGACGUAGGAAGGUCAGAUUGGGGUGAAACUUGGUUUGCUGGAUUCUAGACUUCCAGAGGAAUCCAUGAAACCCAGAAUUUCAGAUUUUGGUUGAGGUUAGCUUGGUCGAUUCUAUGUUUUUCUGGACUAUUGGUGACUUUGAGCUGAAAAUCUGAUUUUUGGGUUUUUCUUGGUGCUAUCUUUGGAGGCAGGGUGUUUUUGGACCUGAGACACUUACUCCAUCCUACUCCACUAGAUUUGAGACCCUCCUCACCAAAUUUGGAUGUGAUUAGGUGAGUUUUGACAUUGGAGUUUGGUUAAUUAAGCUUAAGUGCUGAAAUUAGCAUUGUCAUUGAUGCAACUUGGUUAUCUUGGGUUCAAAUCUUGGGAGAAGGGUAGUCUUGAACCUGGAAAACUUUCUACAUCCAAUUCACUGCUGAGGGAAUCUUGCUACUGCUGAUUUGAAGGUAAUCUAGUGAAAUUAGCAUUGUAUUUGAGCUAAUUCAAGCGUAAGUGCUGAAUUAUUGGAUUUUUAUGGAUUUCGACGCUAGAUCCCUUAAGUAGUCCAGUUGCUGAUUUGGUGUGAUUUCGGCUGAGUCUCCCAGCAGUUUUGUGACCUCCUUGCUGCCAGGAAAGAGCAUUUGAGAGCCGUUGCAUUCGGCUGCUGCUGUUGUUGCUGAUCUUAAUCGUGGCAAGGGCGUCGCGAAUUAGAGCCAUUCCAGUCGAGUUGCAGAGCUAAAGGAGCACAAGCUACAGAUAAUUGUAGUUUUUGGAUCUUUACAUACAGUUGUUAUAUCUCGCCAGAGCGAGUGUUUGUAUACCUGUAUGACAUGUAUGUAUUGAACCACAGUUUACAUAUUUAGUUUAUUUUUU